CAAAGAUGAAAGAUAUCGUUCCAAAAGACAAGUUUCAAAUAUAUCGUUCCAAAAAAAGAGGUUUCUUGCAAGAAUGCAAGGAGAUAGAGCGGGAUAGAAUUAGAGGGAUAGAAUGAUAGAAUUUCCAAAAUUUAGAUAGAUAUAUUAGAUAUGACAGGAGAGAUA